GACGAACGCUGGCGGCGUGCUUAACACAUGCAAGUCGAGCGAGAAAGCGGCUUCGGCCGUGAGUACAGCGGCGAACGGGUGAGUAACACGUGGGCAACCUGCCCCAGAGAUUGGGAUAACGUCCCGAAAGGGACGCUAAUACCGAAUAACGCGUGACCUGCCAAGUGGGUCACGCCAAAUGGUAGCCUCGGCCUCUGCUCUGGGAUGGGCCCGCGCCGGAUUAGCUUGUUGGUGGGGUAACGGCCUACCAAGGCGACGAUCCGUAGCUGGUCUGAGAGGACGAUCAGCCACACUGGGACUGAGACACGGCCCAGACUCCUACGGGAGGCAGCAGUGGGGAAUCUUGCGCAAUGGGCGAAGGCCUGACGCAGCAACGCCGCGUGAGCGAAGACGGCCUUCGGGUUGUAAAGCUCUGUCAGGAGGGACGAAGCCACUCGGGUGAAUAGCCCAGAGGGUGACGGUACCUCCAGAGGAAGCCCCGGCUAACUACGUGCCAGCCGCCGCGGUAA
rnacentral:rRNA from 1 species